rnacentral:rRNA from 1 species
UACGUAGGUGGCAAGCGUUGUCCGGAUUUACUGGGCGUAAAGAGCGCGCAGGCGGUCGUUCAAGUCGCGUGUGAAAGCCCCCGGCUCAACUGGGGAGGGUCACGCGAUACUGAUCGACUCGAAGGCAGGAGAGGGUAGUGGAAUUCCCGGUGUAGUGGUGAAAUGCGUAGAUAUCGGGAGGAACACCGGUGGCGAAGGCGGCUCUCUGGACGGAUACUGACGCUGAGGCGCGAAAGCGUGGGGAUCAAACAGG